CCCAGCUCUGCGUACAUGUGGGUUCAGUUCCGGCUUCAAGCUUUGCCCAGAAGCGGAGGAAGAGCUCGUCGAGCCUUUGUUCUAGGCUUACAUGUAGGAUUAAGAUGUUUGGUUGUUCAGGCAAGUGCAGUCCUGCGUGUCCGUCCGCCAUUUUGUGGGAGCGCAUGUCUGUCCCGGACCACGCCGUCAUCGCCACUCACUGGAGUCGAGGAUAGGUGAGGCAGCCAGUGGGGACCAGGAUAACCCCCGCCAGUCCAGAGGGGGGAGAUGUCUGUACCCGUGGCAGCGGCCGUCCGCCGCGUCCUCCGCUCAACUAGGCCGCAAUCCGCGGGAGGUCGACCCGAGCUUCAGCUUGUCUGUCGUGGGGUCAGGCAGCCCUCUCUCCAGAGUGCCUUUCCCCUGUUUGCAGUCUGCUUGAUUAGCGUUUUUUUUUUAUCAGUUUUUAGGCUUCAGGAAUCAGGAGCUCAGGGAACCUGCGAUUGAUCAG